AUAGCCUAACGGCUGAACCAGCAACUUGGAGGAAUGUAUAGCAAUUGCUAGUUGCACUAAAAGUUUUAGUGUAAAAUCAAUUUAGUUGAAUAAAAUUCUGGGUGGAAUUAUGAUAAUGACAUAAUCUGUUCAUAAGUCUUGACCAAAUUACGUGCCAGCAGUCGCGGUAAUACGUAGAAGACAAGUGUUAUUCAUCUUUAAUAGGUUUAAAGGGUACUUAGACGGUAAAUCAAGCCUUAAUAAGGGACUAAUUUGCUAGAGUUUUAUGUGAAAAAGUAUUAAAGUACUGCUGGUGUAGAGAUGAAAUUCUGUCAUACCUUGAAUGGCACAGGUUAAGGCGAAAGCAUCUUUUUAUGUAAAAACUGACGUUGAAGGACGAAGGCUUUGUGUCUCGAACAGGAUUAGAUACCCUAGUAGUCUAAGCAGACAAUGAUGAAUGUCAUAGAUUAGAUGUAAUUUGAUCUAUAAAUGAAAGUGUAAGCAUUCCACCUCAAGAGUAAUUUGGCAACAUUGGAACUGAAAUCAUUAGACCGUUUCUGAAAACAGUAGUGAAGUAUGUUGUUUAAUUUGAUAAUCCGCAAAAAACCUUACCACUUUAAUAUGAAUAGAUAUAUUUUAUCAUACAAGCGUUGCACGGCUGUCUUCAGUUAAUGUCGUGAGACUUUGGUUAGUUCCAUAAAAUUAACGUAAACCCUUACUUUAUUUACAUAUAAAGUAGUUCACCGCUAUAUUGGACGUGAUAACAGGGAUCAAGACAAGUCAUCAUGACCUAAAUAUUGU
rnacentral:rRNA from 1 species